rnacentral:rRNA from 1 species
AACGUAGGAGACAAACGUUAUCCGGAGUUACUGGGCGUAAAGGGCGUGUAGGCGGUUACGCAAGUCUGGCGUGAAAUUUCUCGGCUUAACCGAGGCAGGUCGUCGGAUACUGCGAGACUAGAGGACGGUAGAGACGUGUGGAAUUCCGGGUGUAGUGGUGAAAUGCGUAGAGAUCCGGAGGAACACCAGUGGCGAAGGCGAGUUUCUGGACAGGUACUGACGCUGAGGCACGAAGGCCAGGGGAGCAAACGGG